rnacentral:lncRNA from 1 species
CACAUCUUUACUUUUACUUUUAUUAUUGCAUGGCUUUGGGAGCUUUUAGUCUUUUAGUUCAAGAUAUAUUUAAUUAUUAAUGGAAAUAUAUCUUUACCUUAGCAAAACAAAAAAAUGAAAAUAUUUAAUAUAAUUACAGUUAGAGAAGUCAAUUUGAUGAUUUUGAAACAAAAUUUAAGGUUUUUCUUCAAUGCUGGUUUUUCUUUAUAAAAGUGAUAUUGCUUAAGUUUUUGACUACCUGUUUUUUUUUAUUAAGAAAGCCAACUUUGAGUUUAAUGUUUAGUAAUUUAUGUUAACCUUAAUCAAUUUUAAAGUGUCCAUCAUACACAAUAAAUUAGAUUUAGAAUAUUUACAAAUGAAUCAUGUAGUUUAAGCAUACAGUUUUGAUUCAAUCACUUGAUUCAUUAUGCAUGCCAUAUAUUUGUUGGAUCUCUCACAUAAGUUUCUAAAAACUUAUCUAUGUUAAAAUUUUAUAUUGGUACAUAUACCCUUACUGCUGUAAAACAUUUGAAAAGAGUAAGUUUCCUGAAUGGAUUAACAAGAAGAUGCAGUACUUAUGUGUAAACAUUCCUUAAAGCUUAUAAAUCUUGUAAAGUAAUGUAAUAGUAGUCUGUGUAUUAGUAUGUGUGAGGUUUCUCUAAUUCUUUGCAACUAAGAAGGAAAUAAUCAAUGGCUUCUUGUUCUCACAAUCACGCUAAAGAUCUAACAGUUAUUUCAUUUAUUUCUUACUGAUAAAUUGCUUGUAGGAUCUUGCAGUUAUUUACUUUCUUAAUGAUAAUCAUACAUAUGUCAACAAUAAAGACAACACUCAAGAUUUUACUGCAAAGUAUCUGUUUAUUUGGUUGACAUGUUAAUCAUGAUAAUCAUACAGUAUAAAUCCUGAUCUCACUUUGUUGAUAAUAUUUUAACAUUCACAGUAUGUGUUCAAUUUCAAAAACAGGUAAAAGACAGUCUAUCUUUUUCACUAACUUCAAACUAGUAUGUUUGCCAUUUAUUCAUUGUCCAUAGUUUUUAUGCCCACCUACAAUAGUAGAGGGGCAUUAUGUUUUCUGAUCUGUGCGUCUGUUCGUUUGUCAGGCCAUUCGUUCGUCUGUCCGUCUAUCCCACUUGAGGUUAAAGUUUUUGGUCGAGGUAGUUUUUGAUGAAGUUGAAGUCCAAUCAACUUCAAACUUAGUACACAUGUUCCCUAUAUAUGAUCUUUCUAAUUUUAAUGCCAAAUUAGAGUUUUUACCCCAAUUUCACGGUCCACUGAAGAUAGAAAAUGAUAGUGUGAGUGGGGCAUUCCUGUACGAAGAGACACAUUCUUGUUUUCACAUUUCUUUUGAUGAGAGUUGCUGGUGACUGUGCUCUCUUCUUUAUUAACAGUUUCAUUUCCGAUGAUACUUGAAAGUGAUCUGAUAAAUCUAUGUUUUGCUUCUUCUUUUAUCAUGGUUGAUUAAAGAUGUGAUUCUGAUGAUGUCCUGGUUGAAGAACUUUCCCUACUUCAAUAAAAAGAUAGAUUUUACUGUGAUACUAUAGUAGAAAAGAAAUACUUUUUAUGAUUUUGAAAGUGACUUAAGAGAGUUGGCCUCUCAGUUUCAAAAUAAUUAACUUUUCAAAACUCUAGCAUUUAUUGAUAGGGGAUUAAUAAAGGAAUUAAAAGAGCCAAAAAAAUAUAUGGGUCACCGUACUUGUUUUCGAGAAAUUAGACAUUGAAAUUUUGGCCGGAAAAUGUUCUCUCUUGACUUUCAUAGCUUUAUCAUUGACAAGUUUAAGUCCUCAAAAUCUAUUAAAAAAUAAUUAAGUAAGUUUAAGAGAUUGAAUAUUGCUGACAUUUGCAUUUUGAUAAAAUUUAAAGUAAAUACAAGGAAAUAAAGAUAUGUUUCAAAUUUGGAUGAGCUCUUUUCUUUAAAGGGUCCUUAUAAUUUUUUACUGUAUUGAAUUAUCUCUUUGCUAGAAGGGUUCAAGAUCCCAAGAAAUCUUGAAUUUUUAAGCUUAACUUACAAAAUCCAAGGCUUUAAAAAAAGAUUGAUUUACUGCAGUUGUUUCAUACAAAAACGAGAAAACAGUCCUUCAUUUCUGCUAGUUUGAAUAAAUUCAUUUUGUUUUGAACAUGAAUGAUUUGAAAUUUUGAGAUACAAUUUUAUGUGUUAUAAAUAUAGCUUGUAUCCAACAGGGUUCAAUUCUAGAUAUUUAUAUAUAGUUGUCAAUCAGUCUUAAUUAUGAACAAAAUUGAAUACAGGGGUAAUUAGUUAAUUGUUAAAGAUUUCAUCAUGUGAAUAAUAUUAGUCUUCUCCUUUGGAUCAUGUAUUUAUACUAUGUUUUGUUUAUUAAGGUGUUCAAGUAGAUAGUUUUUUGUAACUCACAUUGUACUAUGCAAUUGAUAAAUAGUUUAUAUAAGUUUUAUUUAAAUAUAUUUU